CAUACAAGACAAGUUAAGGUAGGAAAGCAGAGCGGUACAAAACUGUGUUGAGUGUAAAGUUGUCAGUAGGGGGGGUAACAGAGGGCUGUGAAUGAGCCCUGUCACUGUGAUCAGGCUCCUUCUAGUCCACCAACUUAGUGUUGAUGAAGACUAAACAGAGACUUCACAGCCUUCGUUAUACUUGCUGUAGCUCACAGCGACUCAACACUGCAGAUAUGACGCCUCUGCUCAUCUCAGUGCUGCUGGCUGCUAUGUGCCUUGAAUGCAGAGCACAAAAAGACAACGUGCUGCAACCAAAAAGAGAUGUGACUGCUACUGAAGGAGAGGCAGUAACACUUGACUGUCUAUAUAACAGCAGUUCCGCGAGUAAUUAUCUCUUCUGGUACAAACAGGAUGGAAACAACAGCCCCAAGUUCAUCCUGAGGCGCUUUAAACUGGAUGGAGGGAUCACAGCCGAUGAGUUCAGGGAGAGAUUUUCAUCCACUCUGAAUUCCGCCUCAAGAUCAGUUCCUCUGAAGAUCCAGAAGCUUCAGCUGUCUGACUCUGCUGUGUACUACUGUGCUUUGCAGCCCACAGUGACAGGAAACACCAGAACUCUGUACAAAAACCUUUGGAGCAAAGACAACAGAAUACUCCACAACAUC